AUUGAACGCUGGCGGCAGGCUUAACACAUGCAAGUCGAGCGGGGGAAGGUAGCUUGCUACCGGACCUAGCGGCGGACGGGUGAGUAAUGCUUAGGAAUCUGCCUAUUAGUGGGGGACAACAUCUCGAAAGGGAUGCUAAUACCGCAUACGUCCUACGGGAGAAAGCAGGGGAUCUUCGGACCUUGAGCUAAGAGAUGAGCUUAAGUCGGAUUAGCUAGUUGGUGGGGUAAAGGCCUACCAAGGCGACGAUCUGUAGCGGGUCUGAGAGGAUGAUCCGCCACACUGGGACUGAGACACGGCCCAGACUCCUACGGGAGGCAGCAGUGGGGAAUAUUGGACAAUGGGGGGAACCCUGAUCCAGCCAUGCCGCGUGUGUGAAGAAGGCCUUAUGGUUGUAAAGCACUUUAAGCGAGGAGGAGGCUACUUUAGUUAAUACCUAGAGAUAGUGGACGUUACUCGCAGAAUAAGCACCGGCUAACUCUGUGCCAGCAGCCGCCGUAA
rnacentral:rRNA from 1 species